GAGCAGUUCAGCCCCAGAGCAGCAGUACUGGGCCUGUUUGGAGAGCUGUCUUCCUAGUCCAUCAGUAAUGACUUUGAUAACUGUUGGUUUUGAUUAGCAAGAUAGUUCUUUUGAAACUGUCCAGGCUUGAACACGUUAGCUUAUUUUAUGACUUUUGAUAACAGUAAGCUAUUAAAUGUUGUAAAUACAUGCUUUAGUUUUGAUACUGUGAUGUUUUUUCAAAUGAGUAAACUCACAUCAGGAAGAGAACCCUUUGCUGCAGCUUGGCAUAUUGGCUGUAUGAGGGUAGUGUGAGCUGCAAUAACAAAAGGGCCCUGCAGAUAUUCGUGGCUCAACUCUUAAAGUAAGACAGAGAAAUUUAGUAGUUUGUCGGCUAGGAAAUUAAAGGGUCAGUCUUCCUGUUCAGGCAGUUGGGCUCCAGAACACCUGUUCUUCACCUCUCUGCUCUAUUUCCAUCCAACAUGCCAAGACAACUCUGAAAUAUUAUUUCUUUCCCCCACUUUCUCAUACAUGGGAGGGUCAUCUCCCAUGUUGCUGUGCAUGCUGCAGUGUGCAUCUAACUGGAGACACGGAAGUAGUGGAUACAUCAGACCAGAUAACACAUUAUAAGUUGCUGUAAAACUAGCUUGCCUGGGAGUUCCUGUUGUGACUCAGAGCUGAGCUGCCUCAGGAGGCAGUGGAAGUGUUGAGAGACAGGGAUGGAGGCCACUUGACAGUAACAUCCAAAGAAAAUUCAAGAGCCGAGUCAGAGAAUGGACUAGUGUUCCUGAAAGUCGAAUCACGACCUGGGGAGAUAAAUGCCUGCUGUCUGUCACUCCAGAAAGAUUGAUGGCAUCUGAUCCCCUCCCUGCCCAACGCCUCUUGCCUCACUAGUGACUGACAUCUUCAGCAAAUCACGGGAAGUUCCUUUCUUACAGGAUCAUGGGGGCUAAGACACCUUUUGACAAAAUAAACCAAAUUGUUGCCAUGAAAUCAACAAACCAUUUUCCAAGCUUUGGACAACAUCCUAACUUAGGCAAAGGAACUCUGGAGAUGUUGACGAACCUGGGAAAACAGAUGUCUCCAGCCGACUGGUCAUCAAUGGGAGUCAAGCGGAAGCUUGGGAAAUUCAGAUGUCUUUCUUCUAUCUUUCCACCUAGUUGGGCACAUCCCCUGUGUGCUGGUUGA
rnacentral:lncRNA from 9 species